UACGUAGGGUGCAAGCGUUAAUCGGAAUUACUGGGCGUAAAGCGUGCGCAGGCGGCUUUGCAAGUCAGAUGUGAAAUCCCCGGGCUUAACCUGGGAACUGCAUUUGUGACUGCAUGGCUGGAGUGCGGCAGAGGGGGAUGGAAUUCCGCGUGUAGCAGUGAAAUGCGUAGAUAUGCGGAGGAACACCGAUGGCGAAGGCAGCCCCCUGGGCUAACACUGACGCUCAGGCACGAAAGCGUGGGGAGCAAACAGG
rnacentral:rRNA from 1 species